GACGAACGCUGGCGGCGCGCCUAACACAUGCAAGUCGAACGAGCAAAGAGGAGCUUGCUUCUCUGAGCGAGUGGCGAACGGGUGAGUAACGCGUGAGGAACCUGCCUCAAAGAGGGGGACAACAGUUGGAAACGACUGCUAAUACCGCAUAAGCCCACGGGUCGGCAUCGACCAGAGGGAAAAGGAGCAAUCCGCUUUGAGAUGGCCUCGCGUCCGAUUAGCUAGUUGGUGAGGUAAUGGCCCACCAAGGCGACGAUCGGUAGCCGGACUGAGAGGUUGAACGGCCACAUUGGGACUGAGACACGGCCCAGACUCCUACGGGAGGCAGCAGUGGGGAAUAUUGCACAAUGGGGGAAACCCUGAUGCAGCGACGCCGCGUGGAGGAAGAAGGUCUUCGGGAUUGUAAACUCCUGUUGUUGAGGAAGAUAAUGACGGUACUCAACAAGGAAGUGACGGCUAAACUACGUG
rnacentral:rRNA from 1 species